AACGUAGGUGGCGAGCGUUAUCCGGAAUUACUGGGCGUAAAGCGGGUGCAGGCGGGCUGUCAAGUGGUGUAUGAAAGCUCCCGGCUCAACCGGGAAGGGUUAUGCCAGACUGACAGUCUUGAGUGCGAGAGAGGAGCGUGGAAUUCCGGGUGUAGUGGUGAAAUGCGUAGAGAUCCGGAGGAACCCCAGAGGCGAAGGCGGCGCUCUGGCUCGCAACUGACGCUCAGACACGACAGCAUGGGGAGCGAACGGG
rnacentral:rRNA from 1 species